CAGCAGCCGCGGGAAAACGUAGGGUGCAAGCGUUAAUCGGAAUUACUGGGCGUAAAGCGUGCGCAGGCGGUUAUAUAAGACAGAUGUGAAAUCCCCGGGCUCAACCUGGGAACUGCAUUUGUGACUGUAUAGCUAGAGUACGGCAGAGGGGGAUGGAAUUCCGCGUGUAGCAGUGAAAUGCGUAGAUAUGCGGAGGAACACCGAUGGCGAAGGCAAUCCCCUGGGCCUGUACUGACGCUCAUGCACGAAAGCGUGGGGAGCAAACAGGAUUAGAUACCCGUGUAGUCCCUGUCUCUUAUAC
rnacentral:rRNA from 1 species